GGUGUUAUAGUAUAGUGGUCAUUAUAAUUCGUUGUGGUUAUUUGCUACGGGCUCCGAAUAGACCCAGGUUCGAUUCCUGGUAACGUCA
rnacentral:tRNA from 1 species